rnacentral:tRNA from 1 species
UCUAAGAGUGGCAGAAAAGUGCCAUGAGCUUAAAAUUCAUUUAUAAAAGAUAUUUCCUUAGAA